rnacentral:misc_RNA from 1 species
AAGUCGUAACAAGGUUUCCGUAGGUGAACCUGCGGAAGGAUCAUUAACGAAUUUAUUUGAGGUUGUAGCUGACUUUAUAAAAGUAUGUGCACACCUCUAAAAUUCAUCUAUUCACCUUUGUGCACCUUAUGUAGACUUUGAUUAGUCUAUGAUUUUUUAUACUUUGUAAAAUGCAUGUAAUAGAUCAAUCAUUUCGAAACUUUGAUAGUGAAAGCUCGAAAGAGUUAGUAAUUGUUUUUGUUUUGAUAUAAAAAAUCUAAUACAACUUUCAACAACGGAUCUCUUGGCUCUC